UUUUUCUUGCCCCACCCCUCCUGAUGGGACAAAAGGGUGAAGAGCUCAAAGAACCCCGACUCCCCCCUCCCCUCCCACCUCAUUGUGUACCAUGAGGGGUCCUUGGGAAAUGUCUUACCUCUUGUGUUGAAUGGAGACCUGGGUUGAGAUGUGUCUGCUCUUGUAGGAAGAUCUUUUGUAUCAGGAACAUGUACACUAGGCCCUGUUCCCGUCCACAAGCUGAGCCAUAUGUACAUAAGCUAGACUGUUUUCUUAGGUGUGCACUUUUAUAGUCUGUUUUUGAAGAUUAACACAUUUGCAAGGUGAUUGACACCAUCUUUGCCUAAAUGCAGUGAGUGUACAGGAAGCUCGUUCUCGAGACAGUACAUACAAAUCCGGAGGGGGUCACAUAGACUAGGGGCCAGAAAGUAUACCUGUAUUU
rnacentral:lncRNA from 1 species